ensembl:lncRNA
CUGACGUUUUAUGGCAACCUGGAGUCCUACUGUGUACAUUAACGGCUGAACUUGUAUACCCCCAGUUUGCUUGGUCAUUGGACGCAGGCUUCACUGAUAAGGGUACGGCUGCGGGUGAAGCAGUUCUAGGCAGAUAAGGCUGACCCUGAAGUUGCUGUCAGCUGGAGGCUCACAGAGCACGAGCACAGCACAGAAUGUGCUGACCACAUUCCUCUCAGCUGAGCAGCAAGGCCAGUCUUGAAGAAGGACCUGGGCAGUGUAUUGCUAUGUUCACCACAGGCCGGUGCUGAGAAACUUGGGGAAGUCCCGUCCGUCGCCCUGCCAAACGAGGAUGGACAGGUUUGACAUGCAGCACUGGGAGUCUAUCAGUGAACAAGCUACGUAUUGUCUCUGCCUUCAUGGAGAUUCCCACCUAUUAUGGGAGACAUACAUCUAAAAAAUAUCAUGGAACUGGCCAAGUUAAUGGAUACCUUGAAUGAUUGCAUCAAGUACAAAGGAUUGGGACAAGUGGACUGAGAUGAAAUUUGACGGAAAUAAAGUGAGAAGUAUGUAGACUUUCGUAAGCUGCUCGUCUUCAUGGGGUUUUGAGAAGGGAAGAUGCCUCUGGUAAUUUCUAAAAUGUUUGACAAAGUGACCUCAGAAUUGGCCUGAAGCCAGCGGAAUAUCCUCCCAAGGGCAGGAUUCAGCCCUUUAAGUCAUCACCCUCUGAAGAGAAGCUGCAGAGAUCCUUCUGAGGGUGUGCAUCAUAAUUACUUGGAAAGCUUGUGAAAUGAAGAAUCUCAAGACUUGCCGACAGUUUCUGGUUUGUCUGGAGCCCGGGAAUCUGCAUUUUAACAAGAAACAAGUUCAUAGUCAUACUGGUGUUGAAGGGCUGUUUCUCCCAGGUAUUGGGGCCUGUGGAAGUUGCCUGAAGAUGGGCCAUAGGCACAAAAUGAAGUCCCAUAAGCAGAAAGAAAGAACAUUUCAGAGGGAACUAGGGAACGUGGUCAGAGAGGUGCGCAAUGAGCAAAACAAAAAGGACACUAAUGAGAUGUGGGAGAAAGCGUGUUAAAAGCUGAAGCGAGAGCUAGAGAGAGUCUUUUUAGCUUAUAACAUCCAGAUUUGCCUGUUGAGAUGAAAUAGAAGACAGGAAAAGGAGAAGAAAUAGAAGAUGACCAAGUUGCUGUUAAAGCAUUUAUUAAAUUAGCCCACACUUCUAGCUAAAUUCCCUGGUCAUUUGAUCAGUCUUAUGUCCCAACAUUUCUCUUUGAGAUACUUAUUGCACCAUAGCAAAAUCAUAAGAAAGUCCUAUCAGAAAUAAAUGACUGAUUGAAUUCAUUGCCCUUAUUCUCAGAAGUUCUACUGAGGUGCCUACCUUCUGUAGAGAGGAAGAUGGAAUUUCAGAGGAGCUGAAAGGAAAUCACAUUCAGAAGAGAUAGGAUCUAAAAUCGCCAGUAGAAAGAUGGAAGCCUGUUAUUCCCUGCCUCAGGAAAGAAAACAUCAAAACUUCAAAGUUCAAGUGCCUAUUUUAAGAGUUUAGAGUUCAAAAUGGCAUCUGGUUAGCCACUGGUGAUUACAAAAUUUCUAUGUAUGGAAGGCUUGGAGGCAGCAAUAGGGUUGGAAGGAAGCCUGAAGUUGGGUUUGCAUAGCAUUUUACAUUAAGUUUGAGAAAGUCAGCUGUUCAUCUCAAAGGAUAAAGGGUGAUGGGGAUUAUUGGUGGUGGCUUAGGGGUGGCUAAAACCAUCCCAGACCCUUUUUUGGUGUGCCAACAAUGAGGCUACUACUCCCUGAGGCAGGCUCACACAAUAUCUCACUAAAACAUCUAUAAAACCACAGGAAAAAUGAAAACAUGAGUCUUAAAGAGACUAAUAAACUGUUGCCUAUGUUCUGGAGGGGACUGGACUGAAUAUGAAGACCUUAAAAUAACCUCUGCACACCCUCCCACCUGAAAUGAAGGAAGGUGGACGUCCCCACCCCUGCAGCCUCUUCGUUUCAAAGCAGACACUUGCUGGUCUACCAAUCCACUCAGUGCCCUUGGGCCAUCCUCGUGAAGGCAUCGGGGAACAUCUGGAUCCCCCCCAUGGCACACGCACGCAUGGGAUGCCAUCUCUGCGCCGCCUCCCUUUGCCAAUGCUGCAUUAUAUCUCUCACCCAGUGUUAAACAUCACAUUGAGCCACUAUAGAUAGGGCUUCUCUAGACCCAGGCGAGCAGUCCACUAACUCCAAGAUCCUCAUUUUCCCUAACACAUUUUCUAGAUGUUUUUUAUUGACCUCCAUGCUAAGGGGAGGAAAGUGAGAUCACUGGGACCUGACUUUAUCCUCUCUCUUCUUUUUCUUCAAACUCCACUAGAAAAAGAACAGAUGGACUGUCAUUCCUUUCUGUGUGACAGGGUUUGCUUACUGAGUUCUCUCUGCUUUAUAUGUGUAGCGGAACUCUAUGAUCAAGUCAGCAGUCACGUGAGAGCUUAGGGAAUUUAGAAACUCCUUUUCUCUCUGGGCAAAGGCCCUUGACAGUCAGAAGCUGACCAUUAAAUGCUUUCUUUCUCUUGCAUUCCUGCUGUUAACAGUCCUAAUUACCCCUGACCCUUAUCCAAGUCAGAUGGAGGGUCAAAAAAGGAAAACCAUACUAAAAUAUUUCCGAAAAUAUUUUUCAUAUUACACAGACAUUCCCCCAGUUUGUCAUUGUUUUGAGCGUUGCUUGUUUUUAUUUAUAGCCAUUUUUAAUUGUUAUGUGAUUCCCUUAUUGAAUAAGGGAGCAGACUGCCGCCUCAGGACUGUCGCACUUAGCUUCCCUUCAAUCUGCAAUGCUCACCCUCACCCCAUCUUCAUCUCCUUAUCUGCUCUCCUCAGGUCUCUGUUCAAAUGCCAUCCUUACAAAAGGUCUUUCCUGACCAUUCCAUCUCAAAUAAGCACUCCCCUAAUUACUUUGCAUUCACUUUUCUCUAAUCUUCUUCAUAGCACUUAUUACCACCUGACGUAUUAUUUGUUUAUUGGUUGAUUUUGUCUCCUCCCAUUGGAAUGUAAGCUCCUUGAAGGAGAGGUAUAUUUUGUUAACUGUCAUAUCCCCAAGGUCUAAACUUGGACUUUUCUGCAUUUAUUAAGAUGUAUCUUUUUCCUCCUUUGACCUCAUUUUGGGAUGACUUAUGAAUAAAAUUACAAAUCAUUUUUAAAUUCCUAGAAGUAAUUUUAUGUAGUUAUUUUGAAAACGUAUAAUAUUGCCAUCUGUUUUAUAAUGUUGCUUUUAGAAUAUUUUCAUCUAUAUUUAUAAGUCAAUUGAUUUGUACUCUCUUUUACUGUAUUAAAAUCUGUAUUAAAAUCUU